CCUACGAGAGGCUGCAGUGAGGAAUAUUGGUCAAUGGCCGGAAGGCUGAACCAGCCAAGCCGCGUGAAGGACGAAGGUGCCAAGCAUUGUAAACUUCUUUUGUCAAGGGACAAAAUCAGGCUCGAGAGCCUGACCGAGGGUACUUGAAGAAAAAGCAUCGGCUAACUCCGUGCCAGCAGCCGCGGUAAUACGGAGGAUGCGAGCGUUAUCCGGUUUUAGUGGGUUUAAAGGGUCGGUGGGCGGACUGUUAAGUCCGCGGUAAAAGCCCGGGGCUCACCCCCGGCGAGCCGUUGAAACUGGCUGGCUUGAGAUGUCGAGAGGUAUGCGGAAUGCGCGGGGUAGCGGUGAAAUGCUUAGAUAUUGCGCAGAACUCCGAUUGCGAAGGCAGCAUACCGGCGGCGAUCUGACGCUGAGGCACGAAAGCGUGGGUAUCGAACAGGAGUAGAUACCCGUGUAGUC
rnacentral:rRNA from 1 species